GGAAUAUUUUGAAUCAAUAAUUUAUUGAAAGAGUCUUAACAACUAGAGCAGAGCUCCAACCUCCAACUUGCGCAAUGGCGGGGAUUUUUGAGGUACUUUGAAUUGAUCGAAUUUACGUCGGGGAGUUCUAUGAAGUUCACGGCCAAUCGGUUCGAGAUCUUCUCUGGCAAGCUCUAGGUUUUGGCAAUGGCAGCCUCGAGGAAUGGUCAAAUUGAUGGCUGAGAAUCGGCCGAAGCGGACAACAUUUGAUAGCGGUGGGCUUGAAUUAUUAUAGGUAAUUUUUCCCGAUAUUUGUGAAUGUCUAAGUUAGCUCUGUGCACAUUGAGUAUUCUUAUGCUUGACUAUUCUUAUGGAGCAAUCGACCGAUCCUAUUAGAUUUGUAUCAGGUUAACUCUAAGAUACUAAAUUUUCAGUCGUUGUUAUCAUAUCUUUUAUUUAUACAAC